GGUGGGGGUUUGAGGGCGGAGGGAUGUAAAGGCUAGUGUCGGUAUAGGGAAGUUGGUUAUGCAGAGAUGAAUGUGAAAUGGUUCCAUUUUGAUAGGGGGCGGUAUAGACACAUUCACGAAACGUUCCUGUUAGAAAAAGCCAUCUCAAAGAAUAGCCCCGGCUUCUCUUCUCGUCACCAAGUCGAACAUGAGGGAGGAGACCGAAAUGAGUCUUAACCAAUAGGAGGAAUUGCUGUUACCAGGCAGAAGACGAUCAAGCAUUUAUGGGAGUGUUGAAAUGUUGUAUUCAAAUUAAAGUUAUCGAUAAUCAUGUGAUUCAUUAAAAUAUCAUUGGCUGUAAGCCAUGUUAAACGUUCUGUUAUAUAACAUUAGAACAAUAACAAAACAAGUUUGAACAGAAUGGUAUGUUCUUUUACCUUUAGAACAGUUGCAAGUCAUGGGAGUGGACUAUCAAUAUUAUUGUUGUGUGAAAGAGGAUCUAAAUAAAGGAUCAAUUCUGUGAA